GAUGAACGCUGGCGGCGUGCCUAAUACAUGCAAGUCGAGCGAACAGACGAGGAGCUUGCUCCUCUGACGUUAGCGGCGGACGGGUGAGUAACACGUGGAUAACCUACCUAUAAGACUGGGAUAACUUCGGGAAACCGGAGCUAAUACCGGAUAAUAUAUUGAAUCGCAUGGUUCAAUAGUGAAAGACGGUUUUGCUGUCACUUAUAGAUGGAUCCGCGCCGCAUUAGCUAGUUGGUAAGGUAACGGCUUACCAAGGCAACGAUGCGUAGCCGACCUGAGAGAGUGAUCGGCCACACUGGAACUGAGACACGGUCCAGACUCCUACGGGAGGCAGCAGUAGGGAAUCUUCCGCAAUGGGCGAAAGCCUGACGAAGCAACGCCGCGUGAGUGAUGAAGGUCUUCAGAUCGUAAAACUCUGUUAUUAGGGAAGAACAAAUGUGUAAGUAACUAUGCACGUCUUGACGGUACCUAAUCAGAAAGCCACGGCUAACUACGUG
rnacentral:rRNA from 1 species